ACACUGCUGAGGAGUCCCACAACAGGACGAAACGGCCGUUCAGUAC
rfam:Schistosoma mansoni strain Puerto Rico chromosome 6, complete genome